GGACAUUAUUGAUACUUUCUGCUGUAUUUUCCAGGGUCAAAGUAGGAGGCUUGUACACCUCACUUUCCCAUGUUGAAAGAUGAUGUUGGGGUUUGCUAUGUUGCCUUGGUCUAAAAAGUUGGCUAAUUCAUACAGCACAGUAUGUUCAGCUACUGAAUUUUGGUAAUUUAUGUGAUUACCAAUUUGCCAUACUAAGGAAAAAAAAAUCCUUUAUGGUUUCUGUGUAAUGCUUGUCAUUUGCAGGGAUCCAUUAAUUUUGUGAAGAAUGUGAAUUGGGAAUUUAUUGAAGCUUUGCUGAGAAUACAUCAAACUCCAAAUCAUUAUCUUUGAAAAGCAUGUAGCAAUGAAAGUAGGGCAAAUGUUCUAUUAGAACCAUAAAUAAUGGAUCUCUGUGUGCAAAUUUUGAAUGAUUAUCAAACAAGCAUAAGCCUUUCCUGAAGCUUGGAGUGUCGAAUUAACCCUGGCAGGAAUAAUAUGUUGGGGAGCAACAAACUUCUCUGAGGGGGGGAAAAAUGGAAAAUACUGGCAAAGUGCCUUCUCUGACUUGGAAGCGAAUUAAUUUUAACAAGGAACUGGAUGAUAAGUUUCUGUUAACUUAGCAAAGAUGAAGUGAAAAUAUAUGAUCACAAGAUAAUAUUAUUGAUCUCACAAGCGGUCAAUAGGAGGGAAGUGAGAUGUCAUGUGCAUUUGCGGAACUGGGCUGAAUCUGGAACACUGGCUGCAGGUUGUCCAUGGAUUACUUUGUGGCAUGUACUUCAUCUUUGAUGGGAAUAUUAUUGUACUCUGAUGUUAUGUAGUGCAAGUUGGUGUAUUAUGCUAAUGUCAAUCCUUCAAAUACAGGUUUUAUUGGACCGAUCAAGCCAAAAUAUCAACUACUUGUGACAGAUUGGAGAAGACUUCUCAUGAGUUUUAAAUUAGAGUCAUGAUGUGUGAUGUUAGAGCUACAAGGUACAUGGAAUACACAGUUGGGAAAAGAAAUUUGAAAGGAUUUAUAUAUUAAUGUUUGUUUGUUCAUUGUGUGUGCACAAUUUUAAGUUCCAUUAUUUAAUAUUUGCUGAUGGUAUGUCAUUAGUUCUAAAUCAGGCCAUGCAAAUUCUGCGUGGCAAGAUGGAUCAGCUUGAGAGUACAAUUAUAUUCCGUG
rnacentral:misc_RNA from 1 species